rnacentral:rRNA from 1 species
GAUAAACGCUGGCGGCGUGCAUUAGACAUGCAAGUCGAACGAACGACCUCGGGCUUGCCCGGGGAAGUGAGUGGCGAACGGCUGAGUAACGCGUAGGUGACCUGCCCUGAAGUGGGGAAUAACUGCCCGAAAGGGUGGCUAAUACCGCAUACGGUCAUGAGUUCAUUCUCAUGUCCAAAGCCUUUGGGCGCUUUUGGAGGGGCCUGCGUUCGAUUAGCUCGUUGGUGAGGUAACGGCUCACCAAGGCGACGAUCGAUAGGUGGUCUGAGAGGAUGAUCACCCAGACUGGGACUGAGACACGGCCCAGACUCCUACGGGAGGCAGCAGUCGGGAAUUUUGCUCAAUGGGGGAAACCCUGAAGCAGCAACGCCGCGUGAGGGAUGAAGGCCUUCGGGUUGUAAACCUCUUUUAUCAGGGACGAUAAUGACGGUACCUGAAGAAUAAGCCACGGCUAACUACGUGCCAG